GAUAGCUGGGACUUUAAGAUGAGCGUGUACGGUGGUAAACAAAGGGACAAAAUUUGCCAUGCAAUGCACACCAUUUUUGGCGAUUCGGAAUCCAAUUAUUCCGGACAAUUCCCGGUAUGCAGGAACUAAAGUGGAAAAUAUCGAAUCAGAAGGCGAUGGCACGAAUUCCGAUGGUAGCGAGGCAGGUUCCUCAGCUUCAGAUGUGGGCGCACGCAAUGCCACACUCGGAUCAGAUAGAGAUCCACAACACAACCCGUGCUAGAAUACUCGCACAUCCGGAGCCUGGGGCAAGAAGUGCCUAAUCCGUCUUCCAGAAUAUGAUUGGGAAGGAGCUGCAGAAGAAAUGUGUCAAUAAGUGUUGGUGCAUUUAACUUGUUUUUUUGUCUUAAACCCGGAUUAUGAAGCGGGUAAGUCAGUGUUAAUAAUUAAUGUUUUAUAAAUAAUAAAUAUAAAUAAACCCA